ACGACCGAGAGAUUGGAAGAGAUGUCUGAGGUCUGCAGGAAAUGAGGAUGGAGGGAGGAGCAAGGAAGGAAACACAAGUGAGGAGGAGAGAGGCAAUGAUUGCCAGCCAGCAUGAAGCCGGUGUUUGGUGAAGCGAGGGAAAAGCAUGAGUACUCAACCAUGUGUGAUUGAGCAACUGGUCAAUAAAGAGAAAGAUGCUGUUGAAAACACUCCCCAAGGCCCGUUCGAGAUGAGCCGGGUCUGCGCAGAAUCGAUCACCGGCGAUCACCGCGCGCCCAAUGCGUGCCGGUUAGAUUUGCAUCCGACUUGAUCUCGACUUGCUCUGACGUCACGCACACGUGGGCAACGAUAA